GCUAGUAAUGGCAGGUCAGCAUACUGCCGUGAAUACGUUCCCGGGCCUUGUACACACCGCCCGUCACACCAUGAGAGUUGGGAAUACCCGAAGCCUGUGAGCUAACUGUAAGGAGGCAGCAGUCGAAGGUAGAAUCAAUGAUUGGGGUGAAGUCGUAACAAGGUAUC
rnacentral:rRNA from 1 species